UACGUAGGCAGCGAGCGUUGUUCGGAAUUACUGGGCGUAAAGAGUGUGUAGGCGGUGCUCUAAGUUCGGUGUGAAAUCUCCUGCUUAACUGGGAGGGUGCGCCGGAAACUGGAGUGCUCGAGCGUGGGAGAGGAAAGCGGAAUUCCUGGUGUAGCGGUUGAAAAUGCGUAGAUAUCAGGAGGAACACCUGUGGUGUAGACGGCUUUCUGGACCAUAGCUGACGCUGAGACACGAAAGCGUGGGUAGCAAACAGG
rnacentral:rRNA from 1 species